AGCCAGAGGUGAGUAGAACUGAACUACGUAUUAAAAUAACAAAGUUUUGAGCAUGUUCAUGCAUCACGAAUACCAUGAUGUAUUUUAGGUUGUUGCAUUAGAAUCUCACGAAUAUGAUGCAUUGCAUUCUAUGUUGUUGAUGUGGAUGAAUGUUGGAUGAUCCAUUAGCCCUCAAUAUGUAUGAUGAUUAAUGAAAGUCCAAGGCUGCCUAUGUC
rnacentral:lncRNA from 1 species